rnacentral:rRNA from 1 species
UACGUAGGGUGCAAGCGUUGUUCGGAAUUAUUGGGCGUAAAGCGCGUGUAGGCGGAUUUGCAAGUCGGGUGUGAAAGCCCUCAGCUCAACUGAGGAAGUGCGCCCGAAACUGCAGAUCUUGAGUACCGGAGAGGAUGGCGGAAUUCCCCAAGUAGAGGUGAAAUUCGUAGAUAUGGGGAGGAACACCGGUGGCGAAGGCGGCCAUCUGGACGGAUACUGACGCUGAGACGCGAAAGCGUGGGUAGCAAACAGG